CCUCUGACGUUAGCGGCGGACGGGUGAGUAACACGUGGAUAACCUACCUAUAAGACUGGGAUAACUUCGGGAAACCGGAGCUAAUACCGGAUAAUAUAUUGAACCGCAUGGUUCAAUAGUGAAAGACGGUUUUGCUGUCACUUAUAGAUGGAUCCGCGCCGCAUUAGCUAGUUGGUAAGGUAACGGCUUACCAAGGCGACGAUGCGUAGCCGACCUGAGAGGGUGAUCGGCCACACUGGAACUGAGACACGGUCCAGACUCCUACGGGAGGCAGCAGUAGGGAAUCUUCCGCAAUGGGCGAAAGCCUGACGGAGCAACGCCGCGUGAGUGAUGAAGGUCUUCGGAUCGUAAAACUCUGUUAUUAGGGAAGAACAAAUGUGUAAGUAACUAUGCACGUCUUGACGGUACCUAAUCAGAAAGCCACGGCUAACUACGUGCCAGCAGCCGCGGUAAUACGUAGGUGGCAAGCGUUAUCCGGAAUUAUUGGGCGUAAAGCGCGCGUAGGCGGUUUUUUAAGUCUGAUGUGAAAGCCCACGGCUCAACCGUGGAGGGUCAUUGGAAACUGGAAAACUUGAGUGCAGAAGAGGAAAGUGGAAUUCCAUGUGUAGCGGUGAAAUGCGCAGAGAUAUGGAGGAACACCAGUGGCGAAGGCGACUUUCUGGUCUGUAACUGACGCUGAUGUGCGAAAGCGUGGGGAUCAAACAGGAUUA
rnacentral:rRNA from 1 species